AGAGUUUAUGAACGAUCAAAAUUUUAAAUAUGAACUUUUUAUUGAACAAAUUGCAUCUCAUAAACACAAAGACAUAUACACUCUCGGUGUGUACUGAAUAAUUUCUCAGCUAUCAACCUUUGUGUAUACUGACGUGCAAAUCAUUCGUCUAACUUAGGUAUAAGGGCGAAAGACUAAUUGAACCGUCUAGUAGCUAGUUCCCUCCGAAGUUUCCCUCAUGAUAGUUGGAGCCCGCGGACGAGUUCUAUCAGGUAAAGCCAAUGAUUAGAGGCAUCGGGAGCGCAACGCCCUUGACUUAUUCUCAAACUUUAAAUAGGUAGGGCGGCGCGGCUACUUCGUUGAGCCGUGCCACAAAAUUGAGAGCUCCAAGUGGGCCAUUUUUGGUAUGCAGAACUGGCGAUGCGGGAUGAACCGGAUGUUGGAUUACGGUGCCCAACUGCACGCUAACCUAGAACCCACAAAGGGUGUUGGUUGAUUAAGACAGCAAGAGAGUGGUCAUAGAAGUCAAAAUCCGUUAAGGAGUUUGUAACAACUCACCUGCCGAAUCAUCUAACCCCACAAAUGGAUGGUAGAUUAUAUAUAUUCUAUUUUUUUCCCAGCUUAGUUUUGCCUACAGCAUAAUGUAAAUCCAACAAUAAUUAGGAAUGAUUAGUACUAGAAUUCUCCAACUAUAU
rnacentral:ncRNA from 1 species